rnacentral:lncRNA from 1 species
ACAUAUAAACACCUCAGAGAUACUGGCAACACAAUCAUCCUGCAUCCUAACACGUGUACCAAUCAGAUAAUCCUAUUACUGUCUAAAUAAACAAACUAAAAACAACUCUUCAAAGAUAAUGAAAAUAACGAAUACCUUCCAAACUGUUGUUUAAUAUGUGUGAGUAUGUUAGUAACUUGCAAGUUCAAGUUCAAGUAUGUUUAUUGAGACAAGAGAAAAAAUACAUCUCAAAGGGAUAGAGUAGCUUAGGCUAUUUGUACUCCCAAAGUAACGUGCAGGUUACAGCAGAAUCCAGACUAUGUAAUGAGAUUCAAAUGUUUCGGUUUCAAAAUCUGUAUACAAGAUCAAGAUGCUGCAAGGUCAUCCCAUCUAUAAGACUAAGGCCACAUUUUUUUAAUUAAGAGAUGGACCUUUGAAAAAAAUCAGAUGCUUGCUUGACUUAGUUGCUCAGCUGAUUCCUUUAAUGCCUGACUGAAUCUUUGUAAGCACUAAGAAAAUUCAAAAUUAGGCACUGAGGAUCAUCUUGGACUUCCUUGUAAGAAAUACGAGGAAAAGGAGGGAGUUAUCAGGAGAAAGCGCCAAGCCAUUAGGCUAUAUCGCACUCUGAAGGGAUCAGGAUAAGAAUUAGUUUUAAUCACAUCUGGGUUUCUGCUAUGAAACAAAAACUGAAGAAUUAAGAGACAAUAAGCUUAAUACAACAUAUGAAGACUAUAUUUUUGAGACACCGAUAAAAAAAAUUCUUGUGUGUGUUUCAACAGCUGAAGCAGAAACUGAUAAAAAAGUUUUGCAAAACAUCUCUUCUUUCAGGAAAUAAUAUGUUGCAGCCAAGCAAAGACAUCUCUUCAGUGUGUGAAGUUAUGACGUGCUCAGAUGCUCCACAAGAAACAACAGCGAAGGCUGAAUACCAGUUAACAAAAAUAAAUUUACUUGAUUGGAAUAACAAAACAGAUACAGACUUCUUCUGUAAAGAAGUUCUUCAAUUUAAAGUUGCCGCCAGUUCAAAUCCAUUUCAAGAAAUUGGUAAGCGUGCCACAUUUAUAUUACCGCAUUUAAGUCCUGAAACUGUGUUCAGCGUGAUGACUUAUAAAAAUCCAUACAGAGAAAUAAAAUUGAAUUAGAAGAGCUAAAUGCCAUUUUGAUGUCAAAUUCAGUUUAUCCAGAUUAGAGAAACUUACAAAUCCAAGGUGUUCAAUGACAUUUCAACAAUGUCUUUACACAAAAAGAUCUUGUCCGUUUCUUCUCAACCUGACCCAUCUUGUGCUCAAGAUGACGAGGAUGAUUUUUUUGUUUUGCUUAAUGUAGAAAUAUCAAGAUAAGUAGCAUUACUACUUUAUUAUUUCAUUAAAUUUCUGUGUUAUUAUUUAUGUUUUCAUAAACUGUGCUGCAGGAUUACCAAUACGUAAUGUAUAGUUAAAACAAUUUUUUAGAUGAAAAUAUGUAAAAUCUAGAUAUUUCUAGAUCUUUUUCACGUCAUUUUUGUUAUGUAAAACUGAUAAUUAAGUUGGCAGCCGUGAUUCGUGGGUCACUCAGGCGGUGGCGGCGGCGAGAGGAGGAUGUGUCUUCCGUGUUGCUGAAGUUGUCUCCACCUCGUGUGGCUCAUCUCGCGUGGUGGAGGGCUCCUCGUGCCGUGGGGAGGCUGGAGCAGCAAGCCAGCAGUGGAGGAGGGACGGACGUCGUCCCUGAGGGCGCCCCGGGGCCCACGUGAUGGAAUGUUCCUCUUUGGGGAAGCAUUAUGGUCUCCAUCGCCAUCAGUUUCAGACGACGAGCUCAAAGAAGGAUCACACGAGACGUCUGAAAGACAAUGGAGGACAGAAUCCAGACGAGGAUAAAGAGUCUAGGAUCCACCGUGGAUUUGGCCUUCACAUAUACCUUCAUUCCUCUUGUGUUUGUUCAUCAUGUGGAAGGCGUGUGACUGACGCAAUGGAAGAAAUUGAGAGAGGCGUUAACCAGUCAACUACUGGGCUGGAGGCUCUCAGCCAAUCAUGUUGGAGAAUGGCAGUGACAUGUGCGAGUCGAUGGUGACAUCACCCCCCUGAGGGUACCCCGGGCUCCCAGCUGCACACUCACAGGCUGGGUUAGAGUCAACUACUCUGAACAAACAGUUGCAAGUAGCCCGGGCUUACCUGGCACAGGAACGGGACUGUAACAAGAUGCACUCAGAGGAACAAGAGCAAGAAGCUAACAGCUAGGGCUCAGGAGGUGAGGUUGAGGAGCUUGGGGUUUCUACCUCAGACACACAGAAAAACGUCCUAGCACUGAGCCGAGGAAGGACAUGUUGAGAGCUUGACGCAGGCUGUUAUCAUUGUGUUAUCUUAAGCCCCUGACAAGUAGAGGAGCACCUUCACUUACCCCGAGGAGCGACCAGACCA